CACGGGACAUAUGAUAUUGGAAUUCAAGAAUUGAUGAGAAAUCACUGGAAAAUACAUUCCUGUAGAACACUGUCAAAAAAAUGAGGACUUAUGUAAAAGGGAAAACUGGCCAGCAAUCAGAAUCUUUUCACCUUUUUCAUGAAGACAACUGACUGAGAUAGUGCCUUUGAAUUGUACUGCAGAAAUAUAUGGAUAUUAUUAUUAGACACACCAGCACUGCAGUGUAUGCACAGGACAAUGGACUGAUGAGCACUUCAAAACAAAUAUGCCUGAAGACCUUGAAAACAGAACAGUGCCUGUGUGUCCAGAUGAUGCAUACCAACUGUCAACAAGGAUAGCAUUUGCCUAACAGUGAGCUGGAGAGGGGAGUGAUCUCUCUGUGACCACAGAGAGAAGACCUGAAGUCAGGCAUACAUACGUUGGAGCACCAGAAAGUCCAAGAUGUGAUUGCACAAGAUUUGUGAAAAUUUGCCUAUGAAUGUACAUACAUUUGCUUAAUCAUGGCACAGAGGAAAAUUAAUACUACGAGCUUGAUGCAGAAAUUAUUAGGUCAGAAAUUCCCUGACCUAUAUUAUGCAGGAGGUCAAGUUAGGUCAUCAUAGGGUCCCUUCUGGUCUUAAAAUCUAACGAACUUAUUGUUCGGAGCAGGUAGACACAUUUCACUUUUGGCAUCUUCAGGGACACCUCCUUCUCUUACUAUGAGGGCUUAACCUGGCUUCCAGUUCCUUUUGGUUAUGUGGUUACCAAUUGUCUUUGUGCACUUAGUGCAGAGAUACGUUUAGUUUGGUUCAUGUGGUUGAUACAAGGGAAUUGAGAUACCAGUGAAAAUAACACAUCUCCUUUUGUAAAAGAGAGAGAUCCUUACUAUAUGUCAGGCCAAAUAUGAAA